GCACAAUCCCAAAGGAAAUAUCCCAGUGCGGAUCAUCCCUUGUUCCUGGCAAAUCCUCACUUGUUUAAAAGAUCCCACCUGAACAUACCCAUUUCGGACAACUGCUGCUGAGAACCCACGUACAUCACGCAAUCAACUGUAGCGCAAUGGCCACGCAACAAGCAGCAAAGAAUAAAAAAAUCACUUUUAUGGCAAAGAUCAAACUGGCAGAAAAACAACAGCGACGUCGAAAAAUACGUUACCAAGGUAGUCCGACGACGAUCGCUUCGGUUGCCGUUGCACUGAGAAUUUUUUUUUAAUUUUUAGAUAUAUAUUUCAUGCAUAUCACUUAACAAAAAAAUAAAAUGCUCUUCUUAAAUAACCUCAAACGU
ensembl:ncRNA lncRNA:CR44676 long non-coding RNA:CR44676